rnacentral:piRNA from 1 species
GUCACCAGACAGAGAAUGAGUUGG